AAUAGAAGCAGGACAAAGCACAUAAAUUCAUUUAAAUGUGGCCAUCCACGGAGAUGUAAAAGAUUUGGUGAACAGCUGUCAGCCUUCUUAUAAAACACCCUUAGUUGACAGAUGGGAAGGAAAACAGGCAAUAGCAAGAUGUUUCAGGCUACCGGCUUUCCAGAUUACAAAGCCAUUUACUGGGAUGAAUAAUCCAUGUUUCCCAUGUUUUGACUGAAUACAUUUAACGUCGUGGAUUGCAUUAACUUUGUAGUAAAAGAUAUACUUAACAUGUAUUAUUCAACUAAAAUAUUAGGCACAUGUAAACGUUUGCAAAUAGUGAAAAUAAACUAUACUUACUCCACAGUA